rnacentral:rRNA from 1 species
GUUUGAUCAUGGCUCAGGACGAACGCUGGCGGCGUGCCUAACACAUGCAAGUCGAGCGGAAAGGCCACUUCGGUGGUACUCGAGCGGCGAACGGGUGAGUAACACGUGAGUAAUCUGCCCUGUGCUUUGGGAUAGCCACCGGAAACGGUGAUUAAUACCGGAUACGACGCACCUUCGCAUGGAGUGUGUGUGGAAAGUUUUUUCGGCGCAGGAUGUGCUCGCGGCCUAUCAGCUUGUUGGUGGGGUAAUGGCCUACCAAGGCUUCGACGGGUAGCCGGCCUGAGAGGGUGACCGGCCACACUGGGACUGAGACACGGCCCAGACUCCUACGGGAGGCAGCAGUGGGGAAUAUUGGACAAUGGGCGGAAGCCUGAUCCAGCAACGCCGCGUGAGGGAUGACGGCCUUCGGGUUGUAAACCUCUUUCGCCCAUCACGAAGCGCAAGUGACGGUAGUGGGAGAAGAAGGACCGGCCAACUACGUGCCAGCAGCCGCGGUAAUACGUAGGGUCCGAGCGUUGUCCGGAAUUAUUGGGCGUAAAGGGCUCGUAGGCGGUUUGUCGCGUCGGGAGUGAAAACAGCCAGCUUAACUGGUUGCUUGCUUUCGAUACGGGCAGACUAGAGGCAUUCAGGGGAGAACGGAAUUCCUGGUGUAGCGGUGAAAUGCGCAGAUAUCAGGAGGAACACCGGUGGCGAAGGCGGUUCUCUGGGAAUGUCCUGACGCUGAGGAGCGAAAGUGUGGGGAGCGAACAGGAUUAGAUACCCUGGUAGUCCACACCGUAAACGUUGGGCGCUAGGUGUGGGAUCCAUUCCACGGGUUCCGUGCCGCAGCCAACGCAUUAAGCGCCCCGCCUGGGGAGUACGGCCGCAAGGCUAAACUCAAGGAAUUGACGGGGCCCGCACAAGCGGCGGAGCAUGCGAUUAAUUCGAUGCACGCGARAACCUUACCUGGUUUGAMUACGYCGAAAGCAUCAGAGAUGGUGCCCUUUAGUCGKGUACAGGUGGKGCAUGGCUKUCGUCAGCYUCKUGUCGKGRRRWKUUCGGGUUWAKUUCSGCUUACCGA